GAAACUUCUGCUAAUCCCGGAUGAGCCUAAUGGUAAAAGAUAAAUUGCCUGGAGAUGAGCUCGCGUCUGAUUAGCUAGUUGGUGUGGUAAAAGCAUACCAAGGCAACGAUCAGUAGCUGGUCUGAGAGGAUGAGCAGCCACACUGGGACUGAGACACGGCCCAGACUCCUACGGGAGGCAGCAGUGGGGAAUUUUCCGCAAUGGGCGAAAGCCUGACGGAGCAAGACCGCGUGGGGGAGGAAGGCUUUAGGGUUGUAAACCCCUUUUCUUUGGGAAGAAGUUCUGACGGUACCAAAGGAAUCAGCCUCGGCUAACUCCGUGCCAGCAGCCGCGGUAAUACGGAGGAGGCAAGCGUUAUCCGGAAUGAUUGGGCGUAAAGCGUCCGCAGGUGGCCAUGUAAGUCUGCUGUCAAAACCCAGGGCUCAACUCUGGUCAGGCAGUGGAAACUACAAAGCUAGAGUCUGGUAGGGGCAAAGGGAAUUCCCGGCGUAGCGGUGAAAUGCGUAGAUUUCGGGAAGAACAUCGGUGGCGAAAGCGCUUUGCUAGACCAGAACUGACACUC
rnacentral:rRNA from 1 species